CCCUUAGAUGUCCUGGGCUGCACGCGCGCUACACUGAUGUGUCCAGUAAGCACCUAACCUCUUCCGAAAGGAACGGGUAACCUUUGCAAAGCACAUCGUGAUGGGGAUAGAUUAUUGCAAUUAUUAGUCUUGAACGAGGAAUUCCUAGUAAGCACAAGUCAUCAGCUUGUGUUGAUUACGUCCCUGCCCUUUGUACACACCGCCCGUCGCUCCUACCGAUUGAAUGUUCCGGUGAGCUCUUCGGACUGUGCGGUCUGCAGUUUCUGCGUUCCGUGCGGAAAGUUGCGCAAACCUUAACAUUUAGAGGAAGGAGAAGUCGUAACA
rnacentral:rRNA from 1 species